GCCGCCGUAGCUCAGUGGUAGAGCACUUCCUUGGUAAGGAAGAGGUCCUGGGUCCGAUUCCCAGUGGUGGCU
rnacentral:tRNA from 1 species